GAUCCGCCUGCCUCUGCCUCCCGAGUGCUGGGAUUAAAGGCGUGCGCCACCAUCGCCCGGCGUGGCCAUGUAUUUUAUAAGUCAUUUAAUUCUUUUGAUAUAUGAAUAUAGGAUGGAAAUAUUUUCACUUCCAGGCAUUCUUUUCAGUGCCAUUUUUUAUGAUUCUUGGUGUCUGGAUUUGCCUCAGCGUGACGGAUCAGCUUCUUAACAGUACUCCUAAUAAUCACAUUUUAACGUAAGAACUAAGGCUUCCUUCUGAAACUUCAAGUGACUCAAAGCCUCUAGUUCUCAUUUUCUUCAACAGUAAAUGUUAUCAAGUCUAAAUAUCAGUAUCCUGUUGCUUUCGGUUUUUGCAAUUAUUAGUACUCGUUAACUUCUCAACAUACUUCUCCAGGAAAUAGAAUGAGUUUUGGUUGCCACACCAAGUAGGAAACAAUGACCAACAUGGCCAAGAGAGCUCAGGAAAGACUUGAGGUUUUGAACAGAGGCGCUGUCCUUUAGAACUGCUGAGCUGAGACCACAUGGAGAACAUGACUGUGCAAUAGUAAGCCAGGAUUGCCUUAUCUUUUGUCAUAGUGAAACUUGGGAGCCCAUCCAGAGGCGUCAGGAAAGCCUUUUACAAGUUCGGCUGUCCUAGCCCAGAUCUCUGGAACUGGAAUCUCAGACCAAGCAGGGGAGUGGACACUGCUGCUCCCGAGACACUACUGUUCUAAGAGAUUUUCAUCAUUUGGAACACCGGAGAGCCAGGAGGAGGUGGAUGAAAAGUGUGGCUAAAUAAGAAAACAAAUACAUAAACUGCGGUGGACGAAGGCUAGGAUGAUAGCUGGGAGAAGUCAAAGGCUACCAAAGGGCAGGGCCUGGACAUGGCAUAUCAACCCGGCUGGUGCUAUAACGCCAUGGAAAGAGGAAAGAAAGACUGGAGAUGUUUGAAAAUGACCGCACGAGAGACAAAGGGGGACAUGAAAACAAUAAACCGCUCCCUGUGGAAAUCAGACCUGGUGAUUAAAACUGAAUGGGAGGCAGAGUGAGGAGGCACUUCUCCCACUUCUUCCCAGCCCA